rnacentral:sRNA from 1 species
UUCAUUACGAUCUGUCUAUCAAUGGCAACAAAGCAUGAUCUACUUUAUCAGUAGACAACAAAUCAAUUAUCAAUUCCGUAGUUGACGCAUCUGCAGAAAAACCCUUCCCCACCAUUUGUUGAAUAAGUCCCAUCGCUUCUGAUGGCUCAUUGUUAUUGAAAAAGCCUCGAAUGAUUAUGUUAUAGGUCCAACCAUUUGGAGAACAACCUUUCUCUUCCAUUUCUUUAAGUAAUUUUACCGCUUCGUUUGUUAGCCCUCCGUUGCACAAUCCACCAAUCAUUAUGUUAUACGUCCUGGUAUUAGGUUGAACACCUCUUGAAGAUAAAUUUCGAAAGAGAUCCCUCGCAGAGUCAACUUUCCCACCAAUGCACAAUUCUUCAAUAAGAAUAGCGUAAAUCACAAUAUCUGGCUCUAAAUUCUUACCUUCCAUAUCUCUUAACAAUUGUAUUGCCUCGGGAAAUUGUUGGUUUUUACACAGGCCACCCAAUAAAACAGCAUAGGUUUGAACAUCUGGAAAAUGGCCGCAAGCUUGCAUCUGAGAGACAACUUUUGUGCAUCUUGUGUUCUCCCUACAUUGCAAAAACCGUCCAUGAGAGUGGUGUUGAACACCUCUUGAAGAUAAAUUUCGAAAGAGAUC